rnacentral:rRNA from 1 species
UUUUAAUCCAACAUCGAGGUCGCAAACUUAAUCAUUAAUGUGAACUCUCCGAUUAAAUUACGCUGUUAUCCCUAAGGUAAGUUAAACUUAUAAUCUAAAAAUUAGGAUCAAAUAGACAUAAAUUAAUGAAAAAAUAAAUAAGAGUUUAAUAAAUCUUACUGUCACCCCAACAAAAUAAUUCAUUCUAAAAAAAUAAUUAAAUUCAAAAAUAAAAUUUUUAUAAGAAUUAUAAACUUCUAUAGGGUCUUCUCGUCCUAUAGAAAAAUUUAAGCUUUUUAACUUAAAAAUUAAAUUCAAAAAAUUAUAAAAAAUAAAGUUUAUUUUAUGUCAAACCAUUCAUACUAGCCUCCAAUUAAAAGACAAAUGAUUAUGCUACCUUAGUACAGUUAAAAUACCGCAGCCUUUCAAUAUAUUAAAUCAACGGGCAGGACCGAUCUUAAAUAAAAUUCAAAAGACCAUGUUUUUGUUAAACAGGCG